rnacentral:rRNA from 1 species
UUUAUGGAGAGUUUGAUCCUGGCUCAGGAUGAACGCUGGCGGCGUGCCUAAUACAUGCAAGUCGAGCGAACAGAUAAGGAGCUUGCUCCUUUGACGUUAGCGGCGGACGGGUGAGUAACACGUGGGUAACCUACCUAUAAGACUGGAAUAACUCCGGGAAACCGGGGCUAAUGCCGGAUAACAUGUUGAACCGCAUGGUUCUACAGUGAAAGACGGUCUUGCUGUCACUUAUAGAUGGACCCGCGCCGUAUUAGCUAGUUGGUGGGGUAACGGCUUACCAAGGCGACGAUACGUAGCCGACCUGAGAGGGUGAUCGGCCACACUGGAACUGAGACACGGUCCAGACUCCUACGGGAGGCAGCAGUAGGGAAUCUUCCGCAAUGGGCGAAAGCCUGACGGAGCAACGCCGCGUGAGUGAUGAAGGUCUUCGGAUCGUAAAGCUCUGUUGUUAGGGAAGAACAAAUGCGUAAGUAACUGUGC